rnacentral:rRNA from 1 species
CUACGAGUGGCAGCAGUGAGGAAUUUUGCGCAAUGGGGGAAACCCUGACGCAGCAACGCCGCGUGAGCGAAGAAGGCCUUCGGGUCGUAAAGCUCUGUCAAGUGGGAAAAAAAUUCUUUGAUGAACAGUCAAAGGACUUGAUGGUACCACUGGAGGAAGCACCGGCUAACUCCGUGCCAGCAGCCGCGGUAAUACGGAGGGUGCAAGCGUUGUUCGGAAUUACUGGGCGUAAAGAGCGUGUAGGCGGUUUGACAAGUCAGAUGUGAAAGCCCCGGGCUCAACCCGGGAAGUGCAUUUGAAACUGUUUCACUAGAGUAUGGGAGAGGAGAUUGGAAUUCCUGGUGUAGAGGUGAAAUUCGUAGAUAUCAGGAGGAACACCCGUGGCGAAGGCGAUUCUCUGGACCAAUACUGACGCUGAGACGCGAAAGCGUGGGGAGCAAACAGGAUAGAUACCCGAGUAGUC